rnacentral:misc_RNA from 1 species
GAUGAAGAACGCAGCGAAAUGCGAUAAGUAAUGUGAAUUGCAGAAUUCAGUGAAUCAUCGAAUCUUUGAACGCACAUUGCGCCCGCCAGUAUUCUGGCGGGCAUGCCUGUUCGAGCGUCAUUUCAACCCUCAGGCCCCGCCUGGCGUUGGGGAUCGGCGCGGCCCUCUCCGGGCUGCCGGCCCCGAAAACUAGUGGCGGUCUCGCUGUAGUCCUCCUCUGCGCAGUAGCAACGCUCGCACUGGAACUCGGCGCGGCCACGCCGUAAAACACCCCACUUCUGAAAGUUGACCUCGGAUCAGGUAGGAAUACCCGCUGAACUUAAGCAUAUCAAUAAGCGGAGG